rnacentral:rRNA from 1 species
ACAGCAGUAGCCACGGUAAUACAGAGGAUGCAAGCGUUAUCCGGAAUGAUUGGGCGUAAAGCGUCUGUAGGUGGCUUUUCAAGUCCGCCGUCAAAUCCCAGGGCUCGACCCUGGACAGGCGGUGGAAACUACCAAGCUGGAGUACGGUAGGGACAGAGGGAAUUUCCGGUGGGGCGGUGAAAUGCGUUGAGAUCGGAAAGAACACCAACGGCGAAAGCACUCUGCUGGGCCGACACUGACACUGAGAGACGAAAGCUAGGGGAGCAAAUGGGAUUAGAUACCCCCGUAGUCCCUGUCUCUUAUAA